rnacentral:rRNA from 1 species
CCUACGGGUGGCAGCAGUGGGGAAUAUUGCACAAUGGGGGAAACCCUGAUGCAGCGACGCCGCGUGAAGGAAGAAGUAUCUCGGUAUGUAAACUUCUAUCAGCAGGGAAGAAAACAGACGGUACCUGACUAAGAAGCCCCGGCUAACUACGUGCCAGCAGCCGCGGUAAUACGUAGGGGGCAAGCGUUAUCCGGAUUUACUGGGUGUAAAGGGGGCGCAGACGGCCAUGGCAAGCCCGGUGUGAAAGGCAGGGGCAUAACCCCUGGACUGCACUGGGAACUGUCAGGCUGGAGUGCCGGAGGGGUAAGCGGAAUUCCUGGUGUAGCGGUGAAAUGCGUAGAUAUCAGGAGGAACACCGGCGGCGAAGGCGGCUUACUGGACGGCAACUGACGUUGAGGCCCGAAAGCGUGGGGAGCGAACAGGAUUAGAUACCCCUGUAGUC